rnacentral:lncRNA from 1 species
GGCGGCGGCUCGUCGCUCGGCUACCUCUUCGGCGGCGGACCUCCCGGGAGCAAGUGAUGUGAUGGGCACCUUCUCCGCCCAGACUUUUCGGAGCACCGCCUGCUUGGGAAGCUUGAUUUUUACUAAGUCCAUCGUGACCUGCUGGAUGUGAAGUUAAUUUCCAUGAAGAAAUGUAUGUUCAUGUGUACCUCUGUAAUCUAGAAAUGUUUAUGUGUAUCUCUGCAAUUUCGUUGGGGUCGGUCGUCUCAUCAGUGCCUGUAUGUGUGUGUGUCAUCAACUGACUUUGUC